UCCACCCAGUGGUUUCUUUUGAGAAAGCUAAAAGGAGCAGAGCCAAGGGAAGAGUUGGGCACCUUCCCAGCCUGGCAUUCCUGACCAUACCACGCGCCUGUUUCCUGACCCUGCAGCUGAUGCACCUGCAUCAGGCCGGGAGGAGGGGCAGGGGGCAUAGUCUGCAGCCACGGGGUAGGAGUGGAGCCUGAAUGAGACAGACUAGCGAUCUCUAGCCCUGCCGUGGGCAGAGAAGAUAAGAUGGCAGACAAUCCUUUCUCAAUGACGGGAGCCUCUGGGGAGCUGAGGCUGUCCAGUGCUGACUCAGCAGCAUCACACCUGCCUUAGCUCCAUCUGGAACACACUUGGCCUCCUGCAAUGGCUCCUCCCUCCUGCUCCCAAGCACUCUGGCACCUGGACAGCAGAGCUCUAAAAGCAGCCACGGCCCUCAGACGCCUUGUUCUCCUCCCUGCUUAUGAGUUUAGACAUCUACAUCUUUAAAACAACCACCACCAGCAGCAGCAAGGGCAAAGGUCACAAGCCAGGAAAACCCACUAGCCUCCAGCCUUCCCUGAUCCCAUGUGGCAGGACAAAGAUCAAUGGGGUGUGUCUGCACCUCGAAGGCUGAGUAGUGAAAUGAAGCAGAGGCCACUCACUCACUGCAGGGUCCAGUAGGGUCUGGCUAGCAUAAAAGGAUGGCAAUUGGACAGAAGAAUUAAUCACAUCUCCUGACACCAGCACAACUGCCCUGUGGAUUUGGAAUUUUGGGCCAGAAGAUUGUGGUAGUCACAGAAUCGAAGCGUAAGCACCUCACUUUCCUGGGAUAGUGAAGACACCAGGGACACCAGCUACUGAGCCUUCAGAUCUGCCCUUACUAGCCCUGGCUAAGGAAAAUCAGUUAUCUGUCCUCCUGGCCUACAGCUUUAGGAAAGGGCAGUGUGGAUUAGCUACAACAAGGCCUGGGCACAAACCAGCUUCCAAAUCAUUCCACCCUGGUUUAGGAGCUGGGUGUGGAUGAGUGACAGGGAAGGGGGUGGGGGGAGGAGUUGGAAAAGAGAAGAACCAGACCCCCUCCCCUCCCCGCAACCACUGGUCUGCGGGCAGGUGAUGGGAGAGGGAGAUCCACCCUCCUCUAUGCCUUCCUUGCCAACCCAGAGAGCACAGUACUUGAUUUUACAGAUGGGUCUUGCUGUGGCUGACUGCACUGUCAGCUGUUUCUACCUUGGGGUCUGAUGAAACCAAGAAAGAGAGAUGCUUAAGCAAACACUGGAGGAGUCAUGGAACUCCAAGCACCUGACUGAAAAACCCAAGUAGAGGGAGGAAGGCACCAUACUUCACUGUCAUAGUCAAAGGCAGGGGGCUUACCACUAACACAGUGAGAAAAGUGUCAAAAGAUUAAAUUAAGUGAGAGAUCAAA